rnacentral:SRP_RNA from 1 species
GCCGGGUGCGGUGGCAUGUGCCUGUAAUCCAAGUCACUGGGAGGUUGAGGUUGGUGGAUCAAGUGAGCUGAGGAGCUCUGGGGUGCAGCACACUAUGUGGAACGGGUGUCCACGCUAAGUUCGGUAUCGAUAUGGUGUUCCUGGGGGAGCCCGGGACCACCAGGUUGUCUAAGGAGGGGUGAACCGGCCCAGGUCGGAAACGAAGCAGGUCAAAUCCCCCGUGCUGUCCAGUAGUGGGAUAAUACCUGUGAGUAGAUGCUGCAGUGCAGCCUUGGCGAAACAUCGAGACCUAAUCUUUC